UCUCGACAGACGCUCGAAAGCUGACAUAAAUACUCCACCGCUGGCGCGAUCCCUCACCCGGUGGGGCGUGCCUCUCUGCAAGCAAAGCACAAACUCGCAUUUGCACACCAAAGACACAGGUGCAUAUAUUGCAGCGGUACCCUCGCCGACAGAAGAAACGCGUAUCUCUCAGUACGCAGCCACCAGGGGGGGGGGUAUCUUGUUGAGAAACGUGAUGCUUGAAAAUUCCAGAGAAAUUUCCGUACAUAGGUUCGCCAAGAGCCACUCGUAUCGACCGACCACAGAUAUCGAUGGAGAGAACAGAUCCACCAACAGGGAAUCACUGGAGGCAAUGCUUUGCUACGAAUGGUGGCGAGCGAGGAGAAGCGAAUCCCGCAAAAGGGGCCCCAUCCACAACGUCUAAAUUCCUGUUUCUGGUUUACGUGUCGCCACGGAAUCGCUUAUAACGGCCACGCUGUCAAGAAUACAUAUGUGCAUGUAUAUGGG
rnacentral:lncRNA from 1 species